CUCCCCGGGGUGAUGCGGCGGGGAUGCCCCCCCCCGAUCGGUGCUCGGGGUCCCUCCCGCCCUGCCGGCCAGUCCCUACGGAGCACCCCGCUGCCCCCAACCCCCGCCAGCCUUCGCACAUGGGGCCGGUGACAGGCAGCAGCCGGACACACAGACGCACACACGGACAGACACACAGACACAGCCCGACCUCUCCAUCAACCCCGGCGCUCCGCCGUGCUCGCCACCUGGGCCUUUUAAGUCUUCCCAAGCAGCAGAGUGGCAAUGGACUGGAUUGACCAAAAAAGAUGCACUGGGACCUGGAGCUCUGAGGAAGAAACAGUACUUGUGCUACUCCAGCCCAAGUGGGAGUUACGGGAGAAGCAACUUGGCUGUCACCCCGCAGGAGUUGCUUGUCAUAGCUGAGAUUGUAAAGGUCAUGCUUGUCCUGUCCCUCAAUGUGAACAUCCUGCCUGCCUGGGACACAGCGAGGUGACACGGUGAGGUAAUGCUCACAGAGUUGCCCUGGUCACCAGCGCUGCUCCGGGGCAAAAUCCACCCCAUGUGCCUCCAUCGCAGAGCUGUCUUUGCAGAAUACCAGGUUUGGGCUGUGCAGUCCCAGCACAGCCAAUAUAUUCCCAUUUGAUAAAUACUUGGAUAGGCUUUUUUUUUUUCCCUAAGGACCCAGAGCUCCCCAGGGAAUGUGAGAACCAUGUUUCCCAUACUGAUCUCUGCCUCAGCUAUCAGGUGUGCACAAGCCUGAGUGUCUCCCUGGCUCCUGUGACUGCUUACAUGCUCAGUCAAGAGUCAGUAAAGAUUGUCUCUCCUCUACUCAAGCGUGAAGAUAAAACAACAGUGUGAAGUUCUGGAGGGCGGCUCUCCACAGGUUGUAGAGUAAAGUUUAAAGGGGAUUUUGCAGUACCAGGAACAACACAACCCUUUAUCUCAAACUGGCAGAGGUAUAGAGCUCAGUCCCUGCAUUUACAAAUGGCUGUGUCAAGAAGGACCCUGCCAGGGCUGCAGCUGUGAGAAAACCCAACAUAUGCUGUCGGACCUUAUUAGACGCUGGAGAAGCCACAUGGAUCCGACUUUUGAUGGAUGCCGAAAGCGUGGGAAAAGCUUCAGUCAGAGUUUGUGCCCCUUCAAGCACCCAGGUCGCUCUCCCAGGAGAUUCUGGCCUGUUGAAAACUGGACUCUGCAAAUUCUGCAGCUCCCAGAGCUGUUUGUUUGCUUUUCAGUGCCAAGCUGGGGAGUGCGGGCAGGGAGAAGGAGCUCAGCAGAAAUCUGAGCCAAAAGGGCUAGUGCUGCUAUUUGAGGAUGGGCCAAGAGCAGCGCAGCCCCAAACCCCAUCUUUAGUAUCAUAGAGAAGUUUUUCUUCAAGGAAUCACGGCAAAUGAUCCACUCUGCUGCCAAGGGUACGAUUCUUCCAUUUGCUCUUUUGGCUGAAAUCAAGGCAGGCAGAGGAGAUCUGACAGCUGUGCCCUUUCCUUCUUCACAAGAUGGACAGUGGAAAACUUGGACCAAAUCCAGUCUGUUCCAACCUAUGUCUGCUGUGAUAGUUCAAAAGCAUCUCUGACUUUUUAAAAGGCAGAAGGAGUUGAAAGCCACCUUGGAGACACAGGCACAGUUUUACAGGUCUCUGUAAAAAACUCCACAGGCGGGUGGAACAGCUCCUGCUAUGGUGGAGAAUCAGUGGAAAGUCUCUGCUUUUGGGCUGCAGGGUGAAGGUGAUGGAGAUGAUUAGAGAAGAGUGUGUUUGAGGGGAAGGUUCGAGAAGUCAGGAUCAAGUGUCUGUAAUAAAAACACUUCUCACAAGAGGGGAAGGUAAAGAUAUUUCUAGUUGCAUAAUUUAGCCUGAGAAUUAUAUUCUCUGAUUUUUAUUCUACUUGCAUGAAAGCAUCUCUCCAUCACUUCCUCAUCUCUAAAUUGUUUGGUAGACAGUUCAUUAGAAAUCUGCUCUGUUGAAUAGUGAAGUAAUGAAUCUUUGUGCUUUCCAUUUCCUCCAUCUGAACUGGAAAGUGUUUUUCUCACACGAUCUCGGUCUUGAGCAGUAAUAACAAAACCACAACUUCUGCUGCAGUUCUUUAUUUGCAGGUUGGAUUCCUCUGUGGACACAUCUCAACAAAAGCGUACAUGACCUGCUGACUACAACACAGAAGAUAAAGAAAAUGGUGGUUAUGACUGUCUGAACAAACAUAAUUCUGAUAUUUCUCUUUCAGUGCAGCAAGGUGCAGGACUUACUGUCAGCAAAAACUGCUCAUGACUUAGAGGUUUGUCACUUAUAUACCAACCUGAGAACAACUUCUAUAUGCAGAACAACAAUUUUGUAUGUGGUUUUUGGCCUAACACCAUACAAUCCCUAUUUCUAACUCAUCAGGUGGUACUGAAAUGGGUACAGUUUUGAUUAGGGCCUGGUUUAUAUGAGUGCAGUUCCCAAGCAAACAUAGUCAAGUAGCAGGAUUUACAUUUACACCUCAAAUCAGUAAAUUCAAGCAACCAACCUGCCUGUUCCACUCUCUCCUCGACACUGCAAGCGCUGACGGUCCAUCUACUGCAGGUGAAGCUGUUUUUCAGGUUGGGAAAACCAUUUAUUGAACUCAGAAGCUGAGACAUUUGGUUAUUCCUGGUGCCCCAUCCCAAUUCAUCAGCUGUCCUGAGUUAUUCUAAAAAAGCCUCUCUUGCAAAAACAUUUCAUUUGCUUUUCCAGUAGCACGUUCCAGGGUGUUUGCAAGUCCCCAGUGCCAUAGUGCAGCUCCAUGCUGCUCCAGCACCGGGACUGCCAAGGGCAGGGCUGUGUCUGGCAUUAACAUUCCAAGAAUCUGCUCCAGGCGGGCAGGAAUAAAGUGGAGAGACAUGUUUGUAAUUGCUGGGGGGGAGCAGACACAGCCCAGCAGAGCAGUCUCACGGUCUGCUUGUUGCUGUCAAGCAAUUGGUCUUGAAUAAGGAGAACUGGAGAGCAAGCAGCAAAUUGGCUUUGCUCAGCGCUUUGGCCACAAUUAUUAAGGAGGGAACUGGCCAAAGGUAAAGUAUAAUUAAGUUGGCUUAUAGCAGAGCUCUGUCCAGGGCAGGAAUAUGUUUUGUGCUGUCACUCUAUAAUUAGCAACAUUUUGUUGUAGUGCUUUUCCUUUCCUUGAAAGAUCCCGAAAAGCUUCACAAAAUGCACUGGGUUAAAGUUGCCAGGUCCCCCUGGGGCCGGAGGCGCCAGGGCUGUGAUGCCCUGAUCCUGCACAGCAGAAUGGCCCUGUGGCUGGCAGGGGAACUGGAUCAGGCUUCUCCUCCAGAGCCACCAGCCGGCACACAGCGGGUCCCUCUGCCUGCGGUGACCUGGGAAAUGGGUGAUUUUUGCCCAUGAGAAGCUGGAGCACUGAGGGGUGAAGUGGUUUUCUGAGGUCACCAAGCAAGCCAUGGGUAAAGCCAGGAAUAGCAGCCAGCUGCUACACCUAUGGUUAUUUCUAUUUAUGCUCUUUGCUUCUCUUGCCCAUGGUUUACUGAAUGCAUUCCAAGAGUAACUUUGCCUGCCAAGCUUCCUCCCCUUUAAAUCCAGAAAUGGACAGAUAAGAUAGUAGAAGAAAUCAGUUUAACUGCUGGUAUGUGCACAAACAUACCUGAACCCUGGCCAAGUUAUCAGCCUUUUUUUUUUUAAAUGCUCUUUUGGGGCAGGAGAAACGCCUCCAGUCUCAAAGCGCCAAUGGCAGUUUGCUGGCAGGAUAUCAGAUUAUUUAUUUCCUUCGCCUGUGGUCAAAAGCAGAAAAAAAUUUUAAAAAGGCAAAAAAUAGAGGAGGCAAUCAUGUUAGACACAGCAAAACCCAGUCAAGUGACUCCAGUACAAAUCCCAUGAAGGCAAUGGGAGAAUUGUGGCUCUGGGAAUUAGAAGUUUAGACUGUAAAGCAAAAUAAAAAUGAAACCCCAAAUAAAUCCUGCAUUCUCCCCCAAUAAAUUUUCCUAGAAUGCCUUAUCUGCCUCUCAGGGAAGGCCUUGAGACUUUCUUCCAUCAACUUGAGCAGUAAAUCCGACUGGGCUCAGGGCCAGAGUAUCUGAAAAGCCCUAAACCAGGGGUAAAGAUUUGGCUCCUCAGUAUUCCUGGGUGAGCAGAGUCAGACUGCUGUGUCAACUGGUGUUCAAAGGCAGCAUAAAAAUGAAAAUUCAGGUAGCAGAAUGGAUAUGAAGUCAUAUUGUUAUACCAAAUGGAAGCCUGGCAGUGGCACGAGCCUGAUGCUGGAGCUGCUGCUGUAGCACAGAACCGAGCUCUCCCUCCUGCCAGUCCUGGCUCUGAUGGCUGGAAUUCCGCCGCCUUUCACAGAAAUUCACAUGUACUUUAAGAACUCAAAUAAACAAAAAACCCAAACAAAUCUCCUGACAGCAAUAAGAUCAAUAAAAACAUAGCCAAGUGCUUUGUUUUGCUUAGGAGAUGCAUCUUUGUGCAUCUCCACUUGGGUGUUGCCAAGUUUUGGAGAUCAGCAAAGGCUGACAUUGUUUAUUGCAAAUUAAAGACCCUCUGGAGACACUCGGUCUUGCUUCCCAGUGCAGCCCUGGUCUGGGGGAGGGAGGCCCUUGGACAGUAGCAUAGAAGAAAUCUUGUUCCAGUGUUGCUAACUAUAGCAUUAAUUUCAGAGUCAUAAAUAACUUCAGUACCAUGGUUACAGUGCUAGCCAAGUAUGAUAUCAUGUAGUUUAGGAUUAGGGAAAAAUAUCUUCCUUGAAGCUGUGGGUUCUAAAAUAAGCAACUUUUCCAGAAUGGGUUUUCUCCCAAAGCCUCCACAGAAACUCCAGCCUGGAGCUGUAAAUGAGAAGGAUUACUUUGGUAAAACGGACUGGGUGAGAUGUGUCAGCAGGUAAAACAGCUCAGAGGACAGAUUCUUCUGAGCUCCUCAGUGAAUGACAGCCUGGCACUCUCGGUUUUCUUAGAAAACAGCCCCUUCCGUGAAUGAGAGCAAGCAGAGCCUCUUCCAACCCCAGCUCUGUGCUAUGGAGACACGCAGAGGCACAGGGCCCUUUGGAAAUCAGAUGUCGCUAAUGAGCGUUAGAAAGAUGGAUUGAGAGAUGGGUGCCGACAGUUCCCAUGGCUGCACUGGCAACGUUAUAGUAACCGUGCAAGCGAACGGCAGCGAGCGGGCACCCGAGCAAAUAACUGUGAUAUUUGUAUUGCAGAAUUUACACACAAUUACCUGCACAUACAGUUCUGCAGGACCUUGGGAGCAACAGUGAAAGGCUGUUGUGGGCGAGAUCCUGAAUGCAAGUCACAUACAGCACAGCGCUAUAAUGGACUGCAACAAGAACCUGAAACGGGACAAGGGACUCAUGUGAGGAAGCAUAAUAAGAGGAAAUUUUAUAGAGAAACAGACUCUUUAAAUGCUGCAAAAUGGUCAUAGGUCAAUGAUACAGGAAAUUUGGCUCUAGCGCUCCUGGACACAUCGUGCUAGACCACACAACCCAAAGCAUGGAUCCCAUUCAAAAUUGCUCAAAAAGUUAUGACAUUAAGUCUGUAUUGGUAGGCUUUGUGCCAGAUUAGAUAUUGUCUUUCUUCCUGCUGCCGGCAUAAAGCCAGCAUAAACGCCGUAUUAUGUGCUCUGGCUAACUCAACAGAAACGUAAUUGUGUGCCCAGGCAUGAUCUGGACUGAAUUUAUCCUGUUAAAUGACCCAGUACUGCUCAAACCUGGUAUAAAGGACCACGGAAUUGUGGUGAAAACUUCCACGGUGAAUUUAAUGCCUUCUCUGAUGUAAGACAAGAGAAUUUUGCCACGUGCAAAUGCUUAUGGUAACUGUUGAAAUGUUUUCCCUCAAUUUAAUGCCAUUUCACAGCACAGACUACACAGAUUAGAGGGUGCCCCCAUGAAAGACAGUGGAGAAACUUGAACACACCGAGAAAAAAGAAAUGUACUUUUAUUUCCUGCUCUUCCUGGCUCUACAGUGGUUAGAAGAGAUCUCACUGACAUUAGUACUAAUUUAUGGUACCAAUAGUUUCUUUAGCCUGGCUGGUGAAUACAAGCAUUGCUUUCAGGCUCAGAAGAUACUCAGCUUGCUUGUGGCUUUGAUGCUGAAAUGUCUUUUAACCCUAGCAAACUCAAAUCUUUGUCAUUUCUCAUACUUUCUCUGUUCGUCACCUUGGUUGCAGGACAUCUGUUCACUGCCUAAUAAUGCAGGGCCAUGACCUGCGCUGGGAUUUCUACUACUGCACAGGGCAUCACCCAGUCGGAUUUGAUCAGGGUUCUUUAGAGCUUUGCUGUUUGGUUCAAAUCCUCUGUGGUCAGGGAAAAGAGUUGGGUCUGGUCUAGUCGCGAGCUUUUGCAGGUGGUUGAGCUGCAACGUGCCAGUCAUAGUCUGUAUUUGGGAUGGGGCCUGGACAACUCAAGGAGCCCUUUCUCCUGUAAGAGCCGUGUGUGCAUCUCUACUUGAAAGCUGCUGGAAGCUGCUCUCGAGAGUAGUUUAGAAAUAUGCAGACAAUUACAUGUCACUGCUGUUGUACUAAGACUGCCAACUGUGGGGUCAGGUUGUCCCCUUUGUUUUCCAGCAGGACGAUUUUUAGUUCAGGUUUCACUGGAGUGUAACGUGUUUGGAUGAGCCCAAAGGUCCCCUGGCCGGGCCCUGUGCAGCUUCAUGAGACAGAUGGGGCAUUACAGCCACGGUGCACUCAGUCCCUGCUGCUCCGUGAGAUCCAAAGUUCAAUUCAGUCGAUUAAAGAACGACGUUUUUGAGUUCUAAGAAAAGCCAUCUCUGGAUGGAAGCAGAAACCUGCAGCAGAAACACAAAUUACAGGAAGAUUGUAGAUGUUCGGGGAUCACAGGGAAAGUGGUAAGGAACAUUUAAUGAAGGAACGUUGUUUUUACAGCUGAUCUGGCACCUGACCCCAGCAGGGGGGAAGGACUGAGAGACAUCAGACUAUGGAUCCUUAAUGUAAAACAAUGUGUUUUCAAACUAAUCCCAAAUGCAAACUGAUUACUGUAUUUAAAAAGUUAAGCUAGGUGGAAGGGUAACCAAAGAGCCAGGAAUCCAUAUUUUAAAUAAAUCAAUGAGAGGAAAGGGUUGUUAGAAUUUGAUGAAUGAGACGGGUAAACUGAGGCAGGGUCAGGUAAUCUGCAGACCCUAUAGUACCAACUAGUGGGGAACUGGGGAGGGGAACUGCAGCCAGGAUUUGGGGGGCUUUUUGCCCUAUUCCCUGUGCCUGCCUUUAGGUAGAACAUCUGAUCUUGCAAAAUGGUUAUUAAAAUACGCUUUGCUGGGAAAGCCUGCCUGGGCCUAUUAUAUUGGCAAGGUAAUUGUUUCCUACAAAGUGAAAACCGAAAUGUAAGGGAGGAACCAGGCAGUCAGACACUGGUGGGGAAGCCGGGCCAGGCAGCGUUCCUGGAGUGGCGGUUCAGUCCCAGUCCAAACGCUGAGGUCACCGGGGCCGUGUCCCAGCUGCCGCAGCAGCGGACAGCGUGACUCAGAGCCACAAAAGGCUGUCCUGACCUUGUCAAGUAGAAAAAGUGCAAAGAUGCUCGAUACUGCCUUGCGCGUGCUGGUUACUGCUGGCCAAAAGCGAUGGAGAAGGCACAAGCCACUGGACACCGAAUCAAGAAAUCCCAAUGCAUCUGUUGUUCAGAAAGCACUGUAUAUGUUUCUAACCUUAUAGAAUAAUUUCUGUUGGAAGAGAUCCUCGGGAUCAUCGAGUCCAACAAUAACCUAACCUAACUGUAGCACUAAACCAUGUCCCUAAGAACCUUGUCUAAAUGUCUUUUAAACCCCUCCAGGGAUGGUGACUCCACCACUGUCCUGGUCAUCCUGUUCCAAUGCCCAACAGCCCUUCUACGUACAUUAACCGACUGAUCCUUAUAAGAGGCCUGGGAAGAUCCCAAGUAGCACAAUCCACAUUUUACUGAGGCCACAAAGUGUAAUUAGCUGACUAAAUAUUGCAAAUGGGGACUUGGGGAGUCCUCGCGCUCCUCCCUUGCUGCCGCUGAUGUGUCCCUGCAGCUGGGGAGCGCCGGCCAGAACCCGAUGGCGAGAAACCACAGCUCUCGAAGAAAGGCCAGCCGCACCAACCGGGGUCUGGCGUUCAGGAUGCUGUCACGACACAGAAGCCCAGACAGGCAGGGUGAGGUCAACAAGUUCUGAAAACAGCCUGUGUAAAAUCGAAACUACUGUUGAGUUUAGCUCGUUGCUACUGAAACAGGUUCCUUAGAGUCAUACCAGUAUUCGAGAAUAAAACCUGAA